rnacentral:misc_RNA from 1 species
CAAGGGCUUGAACAUAGAAACAAAGAGAGGACCAGCUUUCCACAGGCACCACAUACAUAAACUGGAUUGAAACACAGUUGCAACAAUUGCCUACAAAGAUUUUGCCAGUUGGAGUUAAGUUUAUCUAAGGAAAACAAAAACAUUCUUAUUUUUCAUCAGAUGCUUGAGGUUAUAUCUGCUCGAUUUAACCUCUUUUCUUGUCAGGGUUGCGUACAAUAGUCAACAACAGAUAAACUUCACUAUAUGAAAACCUACAGUUCUGAAAUUAAGAGGACGAUUGUUGUCAUGGUUGGUCUCUACUUACAGAGUAUAAAACAGCAACCAAACCCACAUCAAGCCUUAACUGCCAAUCACUGGCAUCCUCAACUUCUAGCAGACAACAGAAAGCAGACAGAAUGGUACCAAAUAAGCAGGAAUAGAGCAUUAUGGUAAAGACUGCUGGGAAACUUCUGACAGUUAAUGUCUGUAAAAUGUACCAUGCUGAAAUUAUAAAAGCUUCAGCUGCAAGCAAAAAGGCUCCAACUACCCAGAUUGAUUUUGAGAAAAGAAGCUGCUGAAGAGGCCAGAGAGCAAUUGACGAUGUCUUCAAGAGUGAUGGACCCUUGUAAAAUGUCACAACAAAUGCUCCUGCAAUUGAUACUAUGGUUCCCAAGGAUUUAGCUAGGCUGCUUGUGCUUCUCCAAUCUAGUUUUUCCAUCCUAAAUACGCAUUCAAAAAUAUGUGAGCUCACAAAAUAGGUCCAUCGUAUGUAUCCAGUUAAAUGUCUAUAUAGUUGCACUUAAUUACUUCUACACAAAGGAAAUUCAGUUGCAAUGUCAGUAACCUAGCUAUAAUUGUUUUAAUCCUGGCCAGUCUUCUUGCCGUUGAAAAGCAUGCAAUUACAAUCUUCCAGAGUCCUUGAUAGUGACUAAUUUGAGGAUGACAGGAUUAGCUUCAUUUAAUAAGUGCUAUGGAAAAGUUAUUCUAUCCAAGAGUGAAAGUACCAUUUUGUUGCCUAAAUUUGAUUGGAAGAGAAUCCUUAAGCCAAUGGAAAACGCAUGUAUUUUCCCAAUGACCUGUUACCAUAAGAUUCUUCUCCUUACUUUUUUUUUCUUUUUUGGAGUAAAAUCCUUCUUAAAAAAUUGCAAGAAGAAGAAAGAGGAACCUGAAAAUUAUGGCAAGUAUGAAAGUAAAAGCUGGGAUGAGGUUCAGCAUGGCUGUGCCAAGCAUAGGAGAGCUGAAUUCUAUACCAACAUAUGCGAAAAUUUGUGAAAGGACUCUGCAUGGAUAAUAACAGAACAAAAAUAAAACAAAUUCCACACCUCAAUCAAACCUUGGCUUCUUACUUAUUUAAAAAAUAUAAUUACAAGUAGAGAGAAGAAGCCAUAGGCCAACAAUCUCAAUAUGAAUCUAAAGAACAUAAAAAUUUUGCUGCAGAUUUUCAAGUGAAGCGAUUGAAAAUAUAAAAAUUACAAACCCUAAAAGGGCAAGCAAGAAGAUUCUGAAAAGUAUGGAGAAGGUGAGUGACGGCCUCUCUGAUCUGUCAAACCAAAAAAAAAAAAAGUUCAUCUAAACUUUUGACAAAAAAUGGAAAGGAAAAAAAACUAUUAACAUCAAGUGAGAUAAGCUAGAAUCUAGGACCUGUGGAAUAUUAAAGAACAAGGAAGAAGGAUAAGGCUGGAGAGGGCAUUACAGUAGACAAUAAGGACAUACUUGUUCAUCCCUCUGGACAUGGCUACUUUGCAUACUACUAAAUUGCUAACCUGAGCCAGAAUAACCAUUACCAUUCCCAUGAAAGGUAGUGAAGGUCCAAUACUGCAUAACCUCAUAGCCAUCUCCUCCUCCUCUUCCUCCUCUGUCUCUUUCUCUCUCUCUCUCUCU